rnacentral:rRNA from 1 species
UGGGGAAUAUUGGACAAUGGGCGCAAGCCUGAUCCAGCCAUGCCGCGUGUGUGAAGAAGGCCUUUUGGUUGUAAAGCACUUUAAGCGAGGAGGAGGCUACUUGGAUUAAUACUCUAGGAUAGUGGACGUUACUCGCAGAAUAAGCACCGGCUAACUCUGUGCCAGCAGCCGCGGUAAUACAGAGGGUGCGAGCGUUAAUCGGAUUUACUGGGCGUAAAGCGUGCGUAGGCGGCUUCUUAAGUCGGAUGUGAAAUCCCUGAGCUUAACUUAGGAAUUGCAUUCGAUACUGGGAAGCUAGAGUAUGGGAGAGGAUGGUAGAAUUCCAGGUGUAGCGGAGAAAUGCGUAGAGAUCUGGAGGAAUACCGAUGGCGAAGGCAGCCAUCUGGCCUAAUACUGACGCUGAGGUACGAACGCAUGGGGAGCAAACAGG